rnacentral:tRNA from 1 species
GGGGCAGAAGCUCAGAGGCAGAGCGCAGCCUUCGCAAGGCUGAGGACUCGGGUUCGACUCCCGUCUGCUCCA